rnacentral:lncRNA from 1 species
AUCUGCUGGCUGAUGGUCCAUCUUUUGGUAGGAUAAAGAAGUUGAAAAAAGGGAGAUCGGGGCCAGAUUGUGAGAGUCAUAAGCCGGGGUAAGCUUGGUGCUAUUUCUUUAUUUUCUUUGCUUUUAUUAUUUGCUUAUGAAGAAUUGUAAUUGAGAGAAGUAUUGUUGAAAUUGUGAUUAGAAUAUUGUAGAAUAUGACUUUGGACUGAUCAUUUUAGAAAAAAUCUAUGAUCUUGAGAAUUGAGAUUAUCGAAUUGUAUUGUGUAAAAUGAAGAUAUUGAAUUCUGUGUGAUGAAUUGAAAAACUGAAUAUAAUAAGUAAGCUAGAGAUCAAUAAUUGAAUAUAUAUAAACUACAAAGAGAGUAAGUGAGAGAUGAACUGAUAAGAAUAUAGAAGUAUUGUUGAAUUGAUAGUCGUAGAAUGGAUUAUGUAUUGAAUUAAGAUGGAAGUAGUAAGCCUUGGUAUU